rnacentral:rRNA from 1 species
UGCAGUCGAGCGGAGAUUAGAGAACGUAGCUUGCUACAAAUUUAAUCUUAGCGGCGGACGGGUGAGUAACGCGUGGGCAACCUGCCUUGUACAGGGGGAUAACACCGGGAAACCGGUGCUAAUACCGCAUAACAUUAUUAGAUAGCAUUGUCUGAUAAUCAAAGGAGAAAUCCGGUACAAGAUGGGCCCGCGUCCGAUUAGCUAGUUGGUGAGGUAAUAGCUCACCAAGGCGACGAUCGGUAGCCGAACUGAGAGGUUGAUCGGCCACAUUGGGACUGAGACACGGCCCAAACUCCUACGGGAGGCAGCAGUGGGGAAUAUUGCGCAAUGGGGGAAACCCUGACGCAGCAACGCCGCGUGAAGGAUGAAGGCUUUCGGGUUGUAAACUUCUUUGAUGGGGGAAGAAAAAAAUGACGGUACCCCAAAAACAAGCCACGGCUAACUACGUGCCAGCAGCCGCGGUAAUACGUAGGUGGCAAGCGUUAUCCGGAAUUACUGGGUGUAAAGGGCGUGUAGGCGGGGAUGUAAGUCAGAUGUGAAAUUUCGGAGCUCAACUCCGAAGCUGCAUCUGAAACUAUGUCUCUUGAGUACUGGAGAGGAAAGUGGAAUUCCUAGUGUAGCGGUGAAAUGCGUAGAUAUUAGGAGGAACACCAGUGGCGAAGGCGACUUUCUGGACAGUAACUGACGCUGAGGCGCGAAAGCGUGGGGAGCAAACAGGAUUAGAUACCCUGGUAGUCCACGCCCGUAACGAUGG